GUUGCUAGAAGCUGUCAGCCAAUCAGUUGUCCAUCAGUCGAGAGCUAUUCCUCAGGAGAUCCAGCAGCAUGGAGGUCACUGUUUAAAAACAAACCCAGUUAAACCUCACAGAAGAAGGCUUCAAUUUUGGGGGCUUUAGUACUGAUAUGAGUACUAAAGUGGAAAAACAUGGAUACUCCACAGAAAUUCAUCACUGACAUUACCAUCCUGAAGCAGAAAAGCAUCUGGCUGGUGACAGACAAAGAGAGUCCCAGAUGACAGCAGGAAGUAGCACCAAUACAGUCAUCAAUGCACCACACACAAGGAAAAGGAAUUGUGAGAAGGAACGUGAUUCAGACUAGAAGAAGGAAUGUUCCACAAACCCCACAAAAAGACAGGUAUACCUAGGGCCUGUGUCAGUACUCAUUGCCACACCUCUUA